GAUGAAGAACGCAGCGAAAUGCGAUAAGUAGUGUGAAUUGCAGAAUUCAGUGAAUCAUCGAAUCUUUGAACGCACAUUGCGCCCCUUGGUAUUCCAUGGGGCAUGGCUGUUCGAGCGUCAUUUGUACCUUCAAGCUUUGCUUGGUGUUGGGUGUUUGUCUCGCCUUUGCGUGUAGACUCGCCUUAAAAUAAUUGGCAGCCGGCGUAUUGAUUUCGGAGCGCAGUACAUCUCGCGCUUUGCACUCAUAACGACAGCGUCCAAAAGUACAUUUUACACUCUUGACCUCGGAUCAGGUAGGGAUACCCGCUGAACUUAAGCAUAUCAAUAAGCGGAGGA
rnacentral:misc_RNA from 1 species